rnacentral:rRNA from 1 species
CCUACGGGGGGCUGCAGUGGGGAAUUUUCCGCAAUGGGCGCAAGCCUGACGGAGCAAUACCGCGUGAGGGAGGACGGCUUUUGGGUUGUAAACCUCUUUUCUCAAGGAAGAUGAUGACGGUACUUGAGGAAUCAGCAUCGGCUAACUCCGUGCCAGCAGCCGCGGUAAUACGGGGGAUGCAAGCGUUAUCCGGAAUUAUUGGGCGUAAAGCGUUCGUAGGUGGUUGAACAAGUCUGCUGUUAAAGCGUGGAGCUAAACUCCAUAUAGGCGGUGGA